rnacentral:rRNA from 1 species
GAACUCGGCAAAAUGCCCCCGUAACUUCGGGAGAAGGGGGGCCCCAACCUUGAGCACCACUCGCUGGUGUGAGGGGAUCGGGGCCGCAGAGACCAGGGGGAAGCGACUGUUUAUCAAAAACACAGGUCCAUGCGAAGUCGUAAGACGAUGUAUAUGGACUGACUCCUGCCCGGUGCUGGAAGGUUAAGGGGACCCGUUAGCUUCGGCGAAGCGGAGAACUUAAGCCCCAGUAAACGGCGGUGGUAACUAUAACCAUCCUAAGGUAGCGAAAUUCCUUGUCGGGUAAGUUCCGACCUGCACGAAUGGAGUAACGACUUCCCCGCUGUCUCAACCGUGAACUCGGCGAAAUUGCAUUACGAGUAAAGAUGCUCGUUACGCGCAGAAGGACGGAAAGACCCCGUGACCUUUACUAUAGUUUGGUAUUGGUGUUCGGUGUGGCUUGUGUAGGAUAGGUGGGAGACUGUGAAGCGGGCACGCCAGUGUUCGUGGAGUCAUCGUUGAAAUACCACUCUGGUCACUCUGGAUAUCUAACUUCGGCCCGUGAUCCGGGUCAGGGACAGUGCCUGAUGGGUAGUUUAACUGGGGCGGUUGCCUCCCAAAAUGUAACGGAGGCGCCCAAAGGUUCCCUCAGCCUGGUUGGCAAUCAGGUGUCGAGUGCAAGUGCACAAGGGAGCUUGACUGUGAGAGUGGCAGCUCGAGCAGGGACGAAAGUCGGGACUAGUGAUCCGGCGGCUCGUUGUGGAACGGCCGUCGCUCAACGGAUAAAAGGUACCUCGGGGAUAACAGGCUGAUCUUGCCCAAGAGUCCAUAUCGACGGCAUGGUUUGGCACCUCGAUGUCGGCUCGUCGCAUCCUGGGGCUGGAGUAGGUCCCAAGGGUUGGGCUGUUCGCCCAUUAAAGCGGUACGCGAGCUGGGUUCAGAACGUCGUGAGACAGUUCGGUCCCUAUCCUCUGCGCGCGUUGGAAAUUUGAGAAGGUCUGUCCUUAGUACGAGAGGACCGGGACGGACGAACCUCUGGUAUGUCAGUUGUACCGCCAAG